CCACUGCGUAAAAAGAGACUGCAGUGCAGGGAAAGGACCCUGAAGCCCCUGGAGUCAGACACAAAGCUGUGACCUUCAUGUGUCUACGAGAGCAGCAACAGGUCGCAGAGGAGUCACAUUCACCGACCCGAAGCAAAUCUCAUAAAAGAAACAAAACACAACACGCUUGCUUAUCAAGAAGAACUUUAUUUGUGACUUUUCUUUAAAUUUUUUUUGGGUCAAAUAUUCGACGCGAGGUGGGGAAGGCGCCCUCAGUGGGAGCGGUGGUGGUGCACGGGGCAGCAGGCAGGGGGCAGCACGCGACUGAGCGAAGAGGAGGGAUGUGCUCCAUGUAGUUACUGGUUAGAAAGAAGGCAAAGUAGCAAUGGGAGCAUUUGUACAACCAAUAUUUUACAAGUUUUUGGCCAAGUCGAAUUAUUUCUUCUCUCAGGAGACCAAUGCUAUGACUGCCAUGACUGCCAUGACUUCAGGGUUUGUUUUGUCGCCCUCUUCGUGUCCUUCAUCUACUGUCUUCCCCAACUUCGUCACCUUCAUAAAGCUAAGUUACCCAUCGUCACACACCAACCUCUGUCAAACACACACACACACACACACACACACACACACACACACCAAUAGUCUUAUAAAAAGAGGCCUCUCUCUCUCUCCCCCUCUCUCUCUCUCCCACCACACACAUUUUGGUUAAUGUAGUCAAAAGCAACACACAGUCGAGUCAUAUACACACAUGUUCAUUGUUCAUUCACACAAAAAACCAAAGGCAUGGGCAUAGUGUGAAAAAGGCAUAUGAGAGGGGAAACUGAGGCACAGAGACGUGGGAGCAACUUUGCUCAUGCGGGGAUAAAAGUAUGUGAGACACAAUGGUGUAUAACUGUAGAGUGAGUUGGGUUUGGAAGAGGAAACUGCAUUCAAAUGAAUCAAAUUAAUGAGCAUACAUCAUCAAUCUAAACACCCACACACGCCACCUAAACCCAGGUUUUCUAUCUUACUGUAAAAAAUCCGAGUGCAACAUUGUGUCGCAUUGCUUGUAACUCCUACCCUCCCCAUUUUCUCCACAUACUUACUCUAAAAAGGCAAUCCAGGUGAACAAAUAAAUAUUUCCAGUGUAUGAAUUUCAGGAACAUCCAAAUUCAAAAUCAAGUAAUCAACAGAAUAAAUGAACAACUACAAAACAGCUCUAAUGAAAUACAAAUGAUGAAAAAGAAUAUAAGAAACAACAGCAGCAAUGAGAACAACAAAGGCACAGAAAUAAAAGGUAUGGUGGUGAAAAAACAAAUGCAGUCAGCAAGAAUGGCCUCCAAACAUAAACCCCCUUCCCUCUCGCUCUAGAACAGUCUGCUGGCGGCCCCCCACCCCUUCACAGGGGGCUUCUCUCUGCGUGCACUAGUCCACGGUUGGCUUUGGUACAUACAUUCUGUACCGCGCAGAGCAAGUGAACAACGGCGAGGAGCAGGAUUUGGUGCCAUCUAUAGUCAGUCUCAGCCAGAUGCUGUGUGUGCAAAGCUAAGCAUGUUGGACGUCCAAGAGGCCGGUGGUGUGUGGAUGAGUGGGGUCAAAUUAUCAAGAGGGCAGGGAAUCGGUUUCAUUCGUACCAGGUCGACGAGAGAUAAAGGGUGUGAGCCCCAGCCAUUAUCAGCUGGAAGCAUCACACCGCGGAUCUGCUGUGGCUGGACAUAAAAAUGUUAACUCAGCCUGUUCCGGAGUCAUGAUGAACGGCUAACGAAUGGAAGUGCACAUGUUGGUACAAGGCAAAGUUAAUUAAGUAUGUUUCAAUCUCAUUUUAAAAGAAAAGAAAUUAAUAAAUACAUGAAAAAAAGCUAGAAGAACGUAAACAAAUUCUUUUUUGACAGAUGUCAUGGUGGUGUCAUGCAUGUCAUCCUGGAGGCUGGGCCACGUCCGUGUUCGGCUGCCCUGAUUGGAGGAGUGCGAGGGCACAGGCCUGGUGAAGAGGUGACAAGCUCCUCCUACUCAACUUUGACACCCAUCUUCUCUGUGUUUAGCAAGUAGAGGCUGUCAUCGAUCAGGAAACUGGAGGAAAGAUGAAGCUCGCGUAUAAGCAGCUGUAAAGCACAUACCUGUAGAAAAGGAAGUGAACUGGGAUAGUGCUGAGGUGCCACACAGCAUGAGCAUCCAAGAUCCAGAGCAGCGGCGGGAAGUCCAGCAGCUCCAGCAGGGCCAGACCAUGCAGCAGCAGCACCA